UCUGAGAGUCCAUUUAUGGGAAAUUUAAUAGGCUGAGAAAAUGGAUCGCCUGUAGGGAAAAUAAUUAUUCUCAUAAAAUACUGGUUAAAGGUAAGAACUACACUUAUGGGAAGGAUAGCAUUAAGGAAGUGUAGUAGUAUAGGUCUAAUUACUUGGAAAUAUCCAUGCAUACUAAACAAAAGAGAUCCCAGCAGAACAUUACUCAAGAUCAACGAUGUCACAUGUUAUCCAAAUAAUUACAUAAUACUUACAUUAUUAACUCAGUGGAAGCAUGUAAGUAAUAACUAGUGCAUUCAAUCCUUAUUAAAUAUCCAAACAUACAGUAUAUUCACAUAAAUAUAGAAAUGCUCUAAGCCAGGCAGUGUUAUCCUUGGGAUGUUUGUUAAUUACAUAUGCCUGAAAAAGUCUUGCAGGCUCAAAUAAGUUUGCCUAACUCAACUUAUUAACCUCACUUUAAGAAAUUUCCCUAAGUGUAGUAGUUAAGGCACUGAGAGAUCCUGUGCAAUGUGUUAAUGACUUUGCUCUCAUUUCCCCAAACUUAUUUAACCACAGAACUCUUUUUCACAACACGCCCAUUAACAUCUUUCAAAACUAUCAUUCUUGGUACAAUUUGGAAGAUGCUGCACUAAGGCAACAAAAGUCUCAAAGUAAAGUAUCAGUGCAAAAAAGAAUUCAAGUAAUGUCAACCUGCACUUCUCACCAACUAUAAAGAGGAGGUAAGUAUAUAUCCAAUAGUCUGGAGAAACAAGAUGAGACCAAAGCUGACUACAUAAUUACAAAUAAAUCAGUCUCAAAACUCCCAAAACACCCAUAAGCUUAUUAGUCUCAGGAAAACAUUCAUCCAAGCAAUGGAAAAGCUAUAUAAAUUUAAUAUUUCUACCUGUCUGUAAAAGAGUAUUGUAGUAAUCUCGCUGUAUGUGCUUCUUGCUGUUGAUGGGCGUGCUGCCAGAAAAGAAACAUUUAGGGAAUAUGCUAGAGAAGGGGUUCUCCAAGAUUGGCGAGAUCUGACUGUGAUGGCUGCAGACGACACACAUAGGAGAAUCUGAAGGUAAAUAAAAACUCCAAAACAUGAAAGGGACAGUAAAUUGCUUCUUGAUCUAUCACAUGGUUGGUGGGCAUAGUUAAGUGAAAUGGGUAUAUUUUUAUACAUAUAAAGGAUAAAAUGGAGGAGAGAACAUCUUCAAACAUUUGAAGACAUACACCCAUUAUGGAAUGGACUGCCUGUCCCUAGAGGUGUUUAAGAACAGGCUGUGUCCACUCCAUGUGGUGAUGGAUCAAAGCAUUACACAGAUAUAACCUUUGGGACACCUAGCUAAAAAGUUAUAGCCCUUCAAAACAUGUUGGUGGAGAUUUAAAACCAACUGAUUCUACUUACUUUCCUUUUAAGAAUAAAAGUUGAAGAGUAUAAGCAUAAGAAUAUGAAUGUAGUGAAUACCACAAAACUAUACACUUAAAAGUAGUUAAAAUAAUAAAUUUAAGCUGUGGACAUUUAACCCCCAACUGGGGAAAAAAUUAGUUUCAAGAAAUGUCCUUAACAGUUUGCCAGAAAGUUUAUACUUAAAAAAAUGGGCAUUGGUCAAUCAAUUUUUGGCCAAAAAGUGAGGAUGUGGGGAAUAGCCUGGGGUAAACUCUUAACGAUUAGGUCCCCAGCUCUCUUCAGCACCACAUCUCCCCCCUCCUCACCCCAGCACUCAGGCCAGGCCUCUACAAGCCCUCCACUCAUUUGUGCCACUAUCCUCCUUGAAGUCCUAUCUAAUGCCUUAUCCGAUGUCUUCUUCUCUGAACCAUGUUCUCCACCUCUCUUUCAGGCAGACUUAAUUUCCUAUUUCCCUUUCAUAGCUGAAAAUGAGACCACAGCCUCUACAUCACCCUUUUCAAGCUCUUUGCAGCCAUGACGCUGGUUUCAUUAGCACCAAGGAAGAGGUGAACGCUCUUUAAAACUUCAGGAAGCCAAUGUUGCUUUAAAAAUUCUUUUAGCAUCAAAAUUAGAGAAAAGCCUAUCUGAUUAACUCUUUUCUGCUAAAUGUCUCCAUGUUACCAACUAUCAAUGAGAACUGGGUUAGAGAUCCAGAAUUACAUAACAAGUUCAUUGUCUUACUGAAGGCUACACAAAGGAGCAAUGACAUUGUUGAUAAAAAAUUCUUGUAAGACCAGAAAUUACUGCUACCUCCCAGGUAACAUCCACUGGGAACAUACCAGAAAUAAGGACUUCCUGCAGUAUCUAAAAGGCAACAGCUUUUUACCCCAUAGGCCAACAAAAGUCACAAGAAACUUAAACAUCUAGUGUUAAUAAGAAUUGAUGCAACCUUUUUGUAAGCUGACAGUAUCUACUAAAUUUAAAAUAUAUCCUUUGGCCCAGCAAGUUUACUUCUAACAUUCAGUGUCUGCGGAUGCUCAAGUCUCUUAAAGAAAAUGAUGUAGUAUUUAAAUAUAAUCUAUGCAUAUCAUCCCAUAAUACUUUAAGUCAUUUCUUGGUUACUUAUAAUACCUUUAUUUUUUGGUUUCUUUUCUGAGUAUUUUUGAUCCACAGUUGGUUAAAUCUGCAGGUGCAAACCUGCAAAUAUGGGGGACCAACUGGAAAGAUACACGUGUAAAGAUAUUCAUUGCAGCACUGUUUGUAGGGAUUAAAAAUCCAGAAAUGGAUGCAGUAUCCAUGAAUAAAGAAAUCACUGAAUGAAUUAUAUUCAGUGAAAUAUUAGGUAGCUUUCAAAGAGUAAGUUAGACUUCUAUGUAUUGGGAGACAGGUCCCUGAUAUGUUGUUACUUGAAAACAAAUUAUAGAUUUGUGCAUGGCAUUUUCUUACCAUUUAAGCAAAAAUCCUACACAGUCUUGUGUCACUUAACAAUGGGGACAUGUUCUGAGAAAUGCAUCUUAGACGAUUUUGUCCUUGUAUAAACAUAGAUGGUAUAGCCUAUUAACACCUAGGCUAUAAACUGAUACAGCAUGUUACUGUACUGAAUACUGUAGAUAAUUAUAACACAGUGGUAAUUAUUUGAGUGUCCAAACAUAGAAAAGUAAAAAUAUAAUGAUACAUGGUAUACCUGUAUAGGGUAUUUACUAUGAAUGGCAUUUAUAGGACUAGAAGUUGCUCUGAGUUACCAGUGAAUGAAGGCCUAGGAUAUUACUGUACACUACCAUACAGUUUAUAAACACUACACUUAGGCUACACUAAGUUUAUUAAAAAUUUUUCUUCAAUAAUGUUAUUUACUAUAACUUUAUAAACUUUUUAAUGUUUUUAACUGUUUGACUUUUUUGUAAUAAUACUAUGCUUAAAACAUAUUGUACAACUGUACCAAAAUAUUUUCUUAUAUCCUUAUUCUGUAAGCUUUUUCUGUUUUUAAAAUUAUUUACUUAUUUUUACUUUGAAACUUUUUUGUUAAAAUCUAAGACACAAUCACACACAUUAGCCUAGGCCUACACAGGGUCAAGAUCAUCAAUUUCACUGUCUUUGACCUCCACAGCUUAUUCCGCUGGAAGGUCUGCAGGGAGCUGUCAUGUCCUCUGAUAACAAUGCCUUCUUCUGGAAUACCUCCUGAAGGACCCCUGGAGGCUGUUUCACAGUUAAAGUUUUUUCUUUUUAAUAAGCAGAAGGAAUACACUAAUGAUUAAAAGUAAAUAUAUAAACCAGUUACAUAGUCAUUUGUUAUCAUUACCAAGUAUUAUGUACUGCACAUAAUUGUAUGCACUGUACUUUUAUAUAACUGGCAGCACACUAGGUUUGUUUACACCAGCAUCACCACAAACACAUGAGUAAUGCAUUCCACUACAGCUACAACAUCAACUGCCAAUAGCAAUUUUUCAGCUCCAUUAUAAUGUCAUGAGACCAUCAUGGUAUAGACAGUCAGUCAUUUACGAGGUCCUUCGUUAACCAAAAUGUCCUUAUGUGGUACAUGACUCUCUAUGCACGUGUAAACAUAUAUCUGUGUGUCUUUUUGCAAGCUUAAAAAAAAAGUAUGAAAGGAUUCCCACUGAAAAUCCCCCCGAGAAGUUCAGAAAGAGAAAUUAACUUUUUAUUUAUACUUCUUUAUAUCAUUUGACUGAAUAUGACCCUCCUACAUUACUUAUAUAAUACUAAAAAUCUAAAAAAAUGACACACAAAAAGUUAGACCUUUUAAUAAUUCUUACCUUCUAGAGAAAGGUCAGUAUUUUUAGUAAAACUUGGGGCAGUGCGUUUGAAGAUCUUGGUUCGUUCUCCUCCCACAACCACCUCUGGUCCAAGCAGAGAGACCAGCACUGCUAGGCUAUGCAGAGUAAUUGCCACAAUGGAAUCGCUAGUAUCACGCAGGCCCAGCAAAACCUAGGAGCAAAUGAGGUAAUAAGGGUUGACAACCACAAUACCUAUCUCUUUCUUCCCCUGUAAAUGAGCAAUUGGGCUGCAAACAGAUUGUGCUUAGAUAAACUACAUUAUCUUAGAUAUGUGUUCCAGGUCAGUGGCUCUCAAACUACCUGUGGUAAAAGACCAGUAUCUUCCCCUCCCAAUCCAUCACAGACUUACCAUUUUUAAAAAAUACAAUCAAAACAAAAUUAAAAAGACAUAUGUUGGGUACAUAAAAUUACUCUGUCAAAUUGCGACAAAAGGUUUUAAAUGUUAAGUCUUCAUAUCUGUACUCACAUCACAGAACUGUAAUAAAAAGUUCAUGUACUGGCAGUGUUCUGCAGAGCGCACUCAGAACUCAUCUAGGGUACUAACAGUUAUGUUCCUGUCCAUGCUUCUCUUUUCAGCUCUUUUCAAGGGUAGGACCACCUGUCCCAAACUGAGCCCAUCAUGAUCUUUUGUCCAGUAAUAUAAACUAGAAUUUAUAUUUUCAGUUUAUAUAGGUUUACUCAAUGAGGACAGUAUGCCAGGCAGGGACAAGUGCCUGUAGCCCGAGCUACUCAGAAGGCUGAGGCAUGUGGAUCACUUGAGCCCAGGAGUUCUGGGCUGUAGUGUGCUAUGCUGAUUGGGUGUCUGCACUAAAUUCAGCAUCAAUAUAGUAACCUCCCAGGAGCUGGGGACUACCAGGUUGCCUAAAGAGGGGUGAACCAGCCCAGGUUGGAAAUGGAGCAGGUCAAACUCCUGGGCUGAUCGGUAGUGGGUUCAUGCCUGUGAAGAGCCACUGCACUCUAGCUUGGGCAACACAGUGAGACCCCCAUCUCUAAAAUAAUUUUUUUUUAUGAGGACAGAAAACUUGGAAGUUAUGGGACAACCAUUUUGGCCAUGUGCACACCAAAACAAGGAAAGCUGGUCUUCAGAGAGUCAAAAGUCAAACAAAUGCAGACAGAAGAAAGGAAUGAAAAACAUGGCUGUAAGCCCCAGCUGCACUUGAUUUCCAUCUAAGUUAGUCUAACAUUCUUAAAUUUUUUUUGCUUUGGCUGGUUUAAAAUGAGUUUCAGUUACUUGCAACCAAAAACACCUUAGAAGACAGUCACAUGCAGAUAUCAGGCAAGUACUGCUCUGCAUAUAAGGAAGGAAAUGACCUUCAAAGCAUCUGCACCAGCCAGACACAAGGCCAGGGUAACUGGCCUGCCUACUGGAAGCAGCAGGGCGUGACAGGUAUCAGGAAUCUUUGGUUUUGGUCUUAGCUCUGCUAAUAAUUCUCAAUGUGACUUGACCAAUUGGUCUUUUUAUUUUUCUGGCCUGGUUUCCUCAUUUAUAUAGUAAGAUUAAAGGUUUCCAACAGGACUCAAAAGAUAAUUAUUAGGACCAAUGCUAACAGAUCACUUUCUGUACAUGUAAACUAAAGCAUGUUUCUUUUACAUAUGAUUAGAGUUCUGCCCACUGAAUAUGAUAAUCAUAAAACAGCAAUCCGCCCAAGCCAAAAAUUGGUCAUCCUCAACACCUCUUCCAUCUAAUGAGAAACUGAGUACUACCCCUUCUGUGUCCCUCUACUAUAUCCACUGUCACACUUUCCCCAGCCUUUGUCAUCUCUUAGCUAAACUAUUCUAACAGCUUCCUAGCUUAUCUCCCUUUCUGUGGUCUCUUCCACACUGCUACCAAAGUGAACUUUCUAGCACACACAAAUUGGCCCACUCUUCUUUAGGGGAAGCAGUUUCCUAAGUAAUGAGAGGUUUCAUUGUCUUCCACAUGCUCAACAUUUACUCUUUGACCUCAGUCCAAUUCUGAGACCUAUGAUGACAACUCCAUUUCAGAGUUAAAGUGCUUCAUUCCUCUUCUAAAUUUCCAGACACAACUACAUACAGGGUAACAAUUACUGCUGCAGAUGUAAAUACAAAGUGCUAUGUUGUAGUUACUACAACACAGAGACUUUAAAGUCAGCCCCCAGCGAAUCACACCUCCAGUAUCCAUGCCCUUGAGUAAACCCAUCCCACAAUGAGCCUGGGCUUUUUCCAACUCUAACCGAGAGAAUGAGGCAAAAAUGACUGUCAGUUCACAACCUACACUUUAAGAAGGCUUCUUUUGCCCUUUUUUUUUCUUUAGCCCUGGCCAGCCAUUUAAGAAGUCCACCUGCCUUGCUAGAGAAAUCAUGUGGAAAUGUCACAUGGGGGGAUACAAGCCCCCCAAGCUUCCUGAAAAUUCAUGGAGAGAAAGGCGCAGCCUCUCAGCCACCCCUUCCAAGAUACCAAGGAGCCAUUUUGGAUGUGUCAACCCUUGUCGGGCCCCAGAUGACUGAAGACUCAGCUGAUAUGUGGAACAGAACCUUCAGCUGAGUCCAGUCAAUCCAAAGAAUCAUGAGAAUUAAUAAAAUGAUUAUUAUUUUAAGGCACUAAGUUUUGGGGUACUUACAUGGCAACGGAUGACUGAAACAUGUCCCACUUAUGAGCUCCUUGAAAGCAGAGAGAAUGUUAAUCUAUCUCAUAGGAAAAUUAUUUGAAAGACACCAUGUGAUUGUAGUCUUUUAAAACAAUUUUUUUAAAACCUCAUACUAGGUUGAAUAGUGUCCCUCCAAAAUUCAUGUCCAUGCAGAAUGUGACCUUUAGAUGAGGUCAUACUGGGUUAGGGUAGGCCAUAAAUUCAAUGACUGGUGUCUUUCUAAGAGGCCAUGUAAAGACAGACAAGGAGGUAAGAAGGCCACGUGACAACAGAAGCAGAGACUGGAAUGAUACAGCCACAAGCCAAGAAAUACCAAGGAUUGCUGGGAGCUACGAGAAGCUUGUAAAGAGGAGUCCCUUUCACAUCCUACAGCCUUCAGAGGAAGCAGGGUCCUGUUGACACCCUGGUUUUAGACUUCUGGCCUCCAGAACUAAAAAUAAAUUUGUAUUGCUUUAAGCCAUUAUAAUUUGUGAUAAUUUGUUAUGGCAGCCUAAGCAACUAAUACAAACCUUUCAUUAGUUUCACUAACAAAACCCUUUGGUGGGCAAAUCAUAAUAAGGUUCCCUAGUGGCUGAUAACAACAGGCUGAAAGCCACUGAUAAGAAUCAUCUCAUGCUCCUCUCUGUUCUAAUUUAAUUACUUUAUAAUAAUUAUGGAUAAUUAUAUGUUAUGUUCACAAAGUGCUCCAUACAUUAUUGUUAUUCAUUUACCCUCCCAAAAUUAACAAACAAUUAUAGUUUCUCCCAGGUUAAGACCAAAUAUGUCAGUUUAAUCAAUUUGCCUGUGUGAAUGGAAUGGAAAUGCAAUUUUAAUUUCAGCACUUUGUAUUCCACAGACUGCUGCCUGAAGGCUUUCUAAGCUAUUAUCUGAAUACCUCCAAAACUCUUUCUUUCAGCACUCUUCCCUCAGGUUCUGUGACUACCCCACUGCAAACUUGGCCUCUGACCUGUGGCAAGAUGACUUUCUUCAGCUGCUCCUGAGUGAAGUGCUCCACGUAGGCCUCGAUGUGAGACAGCAGCACCAUCCGCACAUGCUCUUCAUGAACUUCAAACAACUGGAGAAGCACGGGGAUCACCCGUGACUGGAACAGGGCUGGUGAGACGUGCCUUUUGCCUUCUGCCAUGAUUUUAAGGAACUCCCCAGCCACGUGGAACUUUUGUAAAUUGCCCAGUCUUGGGUAUGUCUUCAUCAGCAGCGUGAAAACAGAGUAAUACAGUAAAUUGGUACCAGUAGAGUGGGGCGUUGCUGAAAAGAUACCUGAAAAUAUGGAAGGGACUUUGGAACUGGGUAACUGGCAAAGGCUGGAACAGUUUGGAGGGUUCAGAAGAAGACAGGAAAAUGUGGGAAAGUUUGGAAUUUCCUAGAGACUUGUUGAAUGGCUUUGACAAAAAUGCUGCUAGUGAUAUGAACAAUAAGGUCCAGGCUGAGGUGGUCUCAGAUGGAGAUGAGGAACUUGUUGGGAACUGGGGCAAAGGUGACUCUUGUUAUGUUUUAGCAGAGACUGGUGGCAUUUUGCCCCUGCCCUAAAGAACUGUGGAACUUUGAACUUAAGAGAGGAUUUAGGGUAUCUGGCGGAAGAAAUUUCUAAGCAGCAGAGCAUUCAAGAGGUGACUUGGGUGCUGUUAAAGGCAUUCAGUUUUAAAAGGAAAACAGAGCAUAAAAGCUUGGGAAGUUUGCAGCCUGACAAUGCAAUAGAAAAGAAAAUCUCAGGUGACAUUCAAGGCAGCUGCAGAAGUUUGCAUAAGUAAUGAGGGGCCAAAUGUUAAUCCCCAAGAAAAUGGGGAAAAUGUCUCCAGGGCAUGUCAGAGAUCUUCAUGGCAGCCCCUCCCAUCACAGGCCUGCAGGCCUAGGAGGAAAAAGUGGUUUCAUGGGCGAGGCCCAGGGUCCCCAUGCUGUGUGAAGCCUAGGGACUUGGUGCCCUGCAUCUCAGCCGCUCUAGCCAUGGCAGAAAGGGGCCAACGUAGAGCUCAGCAUGUGGCUUCAGAGGGUGCAAGCCCCAAGCCUUGGCAGCUUCACAUGGUGUUGAGCCUGCAAGUGCACAUUAGUCAAGAACUGGGGUUUGGGAACCUCCACCUAGAUUUCAGAAGAUGUAUGGAAAUGCCUGGAUGCCCAGGCAGAAUUUGCUGCAUGGGCAGGGCCCUUAUGGAGAACCUCUACUAGGGCAGUGUGAAAAGGAAAUGUGAGGUCGGUGCCCCCACACAGAGUUCCUACUGGAGCACUGCCUAAUGGAGCUGUGAGAAGGAGGCCAGCAUCCUCCAGAUCCCAGAAUGGUAGAUCCACUGACAGCUUGCACCACGUGCCUGGAAAAGCUGCAGACAUUCAAGACCAGCCUGUGAAAGCAGCCAGGAGGGAAACUGUACCCUGCAGAGCCACAGGGGUAGAAGCUGCCCAAGACCAUGGGAACCCACCGCUUGCAUCAGCGUGACCCGGAUGCGAGACACGGAAUCAAAGGAGAUCAUUUUGGAGCUUUAAGAUUUGACUGCCUCACUGGAUUUCACACUUGCCUGUAGCCCCUUUGUUUAGCUAAUUUCUCCCAUUUGGAAUGGCCGUAUUUACCCAAUGCCUGUACCCCCAUUGUAUCUAGGAAGUAACUAACUUGCUUCUGAUUUUACAGGCUCAUAGGUGGAAGGGACUUGCCUCAUCUCAGAUGAGACAUUGGACUAUGGACUUUUGAGUUAAUGCUGAAAUGAGUGAAGACUUUGGGGGACUGUUGAGAAGACAUGACUGGUUUUGAAAUGUGAGGACAUGAGACUGGGGAGGGGCCAGGGGAGGAAUGAUGUGGUUUGGCUGUGACUCUCAUCUUGGAUUGUAACUCCCACAAUUCCCAUGUGUCAUGGGCAGGAAUUCAGUGGGAGGUGAUUGAAUUAUGGAGGUAGAUCUCUCCUGUGCUGUUCUGGUAAUAGUGAGUAGGUCUCACAAGACCUGAUGGUUUUAUAAAAGGGAAUUUUCCUGCACAAGCUCUCUUCUCUUGUCUGCUGCCAUGUGAGAAGUGCCUUUCACCUUCCGCCAUGAUUGUGAGGCCUCCCCAGCCACAUGGAACUGUUAGUCCAAUAAACCUCUUUCUUUUGUAAAUUG
rnacentral:lncRNA from 1 species